rnacentral:rRNA from 1 species
GCUACAGGCUUAACACAUGCAAGUCGAGGGGCAUCAGGAAGAAAGCUUGCUUUCUUUGCUGGCGACCGGCGCACGGGUGAGUAACACGUAUCCAACCUGCCCUUUACUCGGGGAUAGCCUUUCGAAAGAAAGAUUAAUACCCGAUAGCAUAAUGAUUCCGCAUGGUUUCAUUAUUAAAGGAUUCCGGUAAAGGAUGGGGAUGCGUUCCAUUAGGUUGUUGGUGAGGUAACGGCUCACCAAGCCUUCGAUGGAUAGGGGUUCUGAGAGGAAGGUCCCCCACAUUGGAACUGAGACACGGUCCAAACUCUUACGGGAGGCAGCAGUGAGGAAUAUUGGUCAAUGGGCGCUAGCCUGAACCAGCCAAGUAGCGUGAAGGAUGAAGGCUCUAUGGGUCGUAAACUUCUUUUAUAUAAGAAUAAAGUGCAGUAUGUAUACUGUUUUGUAUGUAUUAUAUGAAUAAGGAUCGGCUAACUCCGUGCCAGCAGCCGCGGUAAUACGGAGGAUCCGAGCGUUAUCCGGAUUUAUUGGGUUUAAAGGGAGCGUAGGUGGACUGGUAAGUCAGUUGUGAAAGUUUGCGGCUCAACCGUAAAAUUGCAGUUGAUACUGUCAGUCUUGAGUACAGUAGAGGUGGGCGGAAUUCGUGGUGUAGCGGUGAAAUGCUUAGAUAUCACGAAGAACUCCGAUUGCGAAGGCAGCUCACUGGACUGCAACUGACACUGAUGCUCGAAAGUGUGGGUAUCAAACAGGAUUAGAUACCCUGGUAGUCCACACAGUAAACGAUGAAUACUCGCUGUUUGCGAUAUACAGUAAGCGGCCAAGCGAAAGCAUUAAGUAUUCCACCUGGGGAGUACGCCGGCAACGGUGAAACUCAAAGGAAUUGACGGGGGCCCGCACAAGCGGAGGAACAUGUGGUUUAAUUCGAUGAUACGCGAGGAACCUUACCCGGGCUUAAAUUGCAGUGGAAUGAUGUGGAAACAUGUCAGUGAGCAAUCACCGCUGUGAAGGUGCUGCAUGGUUGUCGUCAGCUCGUGCCGUGAGGUGUCGGCUUAAGUGCCAUAACGAGCGCAACCCUUAUCUUCAGUUACUAACAGGUCAUGCUGAGGACUCUGGAGAGACUGCCGUCGUAAGAUGUGAGGAAGGUGGGGAUGACGUCAAAUCAGCACGGCCCUUACGUCCGGGGCUACACACGUGUUACAAUGGGGGGUACAGAAGGCAGCUAGCGGGUGACCGUAUGCUAAUCCCAAAAUCCUCUCUCAGUUCGGAUCGAAGUCUGCAACCCGACUUCGUGAAGCUGGAUUCGCUAGUAAUCGCGCAUCAGCCACGGCGCGGUGAAUACGUUCCCGGGCCUUGUACACACCGCCCGUCAAGCCAUGGGAGCCGGGGGUACCUGAAGUACGUAACCGCAAGGAUCGUCCUAGGGUAAAACUGGUGACUGGGGCUAAGUCGU